rnacentral:rRNA from 1 species
GUUUGAUCCUGGCUCAGGACGAACGCUGGCGGCGUGCUUAACACAUGCAAGUCGAACGGUGACGAGGAGCUUGCUCCUCCGAUCAGUGGCGAACGGGUGAGUAACACGUGAGCAACCUGCCCCUCACUCUGGGAUAACAGUUGGAAACAGCUGCUAAUACCGGAUACGACACAGACAGGCAUCUGUACUGUGUGGAAAGUUUUUCGGUGAGGGAUGGGCUCGCGGCCUAUCAGUUUGUUGGUGGGGUAAUGGCCUACCAAGACGACGACGGGUAGCCGGCCUGAGAGGGCGACCGGCCACACUGGGACUGAGACACGGCCCAGACUCCUACGGGAGGCAGCAGUGGGGAAUAUUGCACAAUGGGCGAAAGCCUGAUGCAGCGACGCCGCGUGAGGGAUGACGGCCUC